rnacentral:rRNA from 1 species
UACGUAGGGUGCGAGCGUUAAUCGGAAUUACUGGGCGUAAAGCGUGCGUAGGCGGUUCUCCAAGUCCGUUGUGAAAGCCCCGGGCUCAACCUGGGAAUGGCAGUGGAAACUAGGGGACUGGAAUCUGGCAGAGGGGGGUGGAAUGCCGCGUGUAGCAGUGAAAUGCGUAGAUAUGUGGAGGAAUACCGAUGGCGAAGGCAGCCCCCUGGGAUAACACUGACGCUCAUGCACGAAAGCGUGGGGAGCAAACAGG